rnacentral:rRNA from 1 species
GACGAACGCUGGCGGCGUGCUUAACACAUGCAAGUCGUACGGUAAGGCCCUUUCGGGGGUACACGAGUGGCGAACGGGUGAGUAACACGUGAGUAACCUGCCCACAACUUUGGGAUAACGCUAGGAAACUGGUGCUAAUACUGGAUAUGUGCUCCUGCUGCAUGGUGGGGGUUGGAAAGCUCCGGCGGUUGUGGAUGGACUCGCGGCCUAUCAGCUUGUUGGUGGGGUAGUGGCCUACCAAGGCGGCGACGGGUAGCCGGCCUGAGAAGGUGACCGGCCACAUUGGGACUGAGAUACGGCCCAGACUCCUACGGGAGGCAGCAGUGGGGAAUAUUGAACAAUGGGCGCAAGCCUGAUGCAGCAACGCCGCGUGCGGGAUGACGGCCUUCGGGUUGUAAACCGCUUUCAGCAGGGACGAAGCUUUUUGUGACGGUACCUGCAGAAGAAGCACCGGCUAACUACGUG